rnacentral:lncRNA from 1 species
AAAAAUUAGAAUCACUUACAUGGAAAUUCAAAAAUUCCCUUUCUGUACACAAUCUUGCUGUGUGUAUAUAAAGUUAAAAAAACUCACCGAUGUCUGGCAGGUUGUUUUGGCUCCUGCAAUUAGAAAAAUAGCUUGCCAGAACAUGAACAUUCUAUUACCGAUUGAUAAAUGGGCUGCACACACUCUUUGAGGUUUAAGUUAAAACAAGUGAGUGGCCUUUUUUUACCUGCCAGCAGCAUGGCUAUGUGCAGCCAUUAGGCUGAGACAUCAUAAGUCACCAAAAAUUGUAUGCCAGAAGUGUGUGGUACAUUGUAUGGCAUAUUCUUGAUGUGAUGAGAAAUCUCAUUGCUAUUUGGGACCCUGUUGCCCCAGAAGUAAUCCACAGUUGCUUUGGAACCAGUAACGGCUCAGAUGAACGGCAGGCCAUGUGCUGACUUGUGGGAAUGAGCAGCAAAGAGAAAUGAACGCUCCCAUACUCAAAUUUGAUGGUUUGGUUGGUGUCGGUAACAUUCGUUCCCUCAGCUGAUGAUGAAUUUUAAACCAGAACAGACACGAGCAUUUCUAUUCAGAACAGAACAGUGUGGUUCUGCUAUGAGCAUGGAAGAGCAGGAAGACAAGUUGCCCAAAUAUGACUAGAGUUCCCUGUAAUCUGUGCCUUCUUCAGCUUAACAAACAUAUCAGAGCACCUCUGAGACUGGUUUGUAAUCCAGGCUGUCUCACCAGCUUUGUAAUCUUUGGCAAGGCCGGUGGAUUCCUCAUCUGUGCAAUUAGGAGACUGGGUGAGGUGAUUUCCAGACCUCGGUGCUGUCAUUUCAGGCCUCAUAGCUCGCAGGAGCUGAAAUGGUAAUUGAAACCUUUUUAAACUCAAAACUAUCUAAAUCAUGAAUUACAGAGAGAGACUCCAUUCUUCUUCGGUAACUAGAUGUUACCACACUUCUGAGAUUGAAAAUUAUAAAGUCAACGAUUUAAAGGAUUCUGCAUAUACUUUAGUGUGCACAUUUAGAAGCAUUUUUCUUAGAAAGCACUCAACGUUUUUUAUAACUGUACAUAUUAAUUUAUUAGAAUAAGUUGUAUUGGCAUGCUAAAUAAAAUCAGAUCAUUCAAAUCCAUUUGCUUUCAUGUAGUUUUUCUUCCCGUAAAUACCAACUUUUUGUAUUAAAAGGAUUUGAUGUGAUUUUAUAUG